AUUCAGGCUGUCCCAAUAGUUGCCAUCUAUCUCGAGACUAGUUGGAAUGUAGAAAGGCGGGGUUGAGACGGCAAAAUAGCUUUGUUUCAAAGUAAGUAUCAUACAAGGAAGUGAUGUUCAGUGGGCGGUCUCUACAUGGCGACCGUCGGUGUGUCUGUGGAGCUCAAAGUGAUGCAACGUUGACCAUGGAAGGACGAGUAUUUGUGAUAACAUGCGAGAUUAAGGUAUGAAAUGCACAGAAAUUAGAGAAAAUUUUGAGAAGUUUCAUAAGGCAGGUUCACAGACAAUGCUAUUCGUGAAAUAGUGAUGAAAUUUCAACGAACGUUGCAUGGCUUUGAACUCUGUAGAGGUACCGACGGGUCGCCGUGUGGAGACUGCUCGCUUCAUCUCCCUACUUUUGUGUGGCACUUUGAAAUAGAACUAUUUUGUUGUCUUAGACUGGUUUUCCUGUAUUUCUAUUGGUUUUCGAGAUAGAUAGUAACUUUUGGGCAUCCUAUAUAUCUGGAGAGAGAGAAACUUUAAGCGGUCAUCCUUCAGCUUCUGAAAUAUGAUAAAAAUUACUGUCGAACCUUCGAAUAUCAUAGUCUUCAUCGUGAUCUUAUCAUGACUGCUAUAGGUAAGACCAAAAUACUUUCUGAAUACGUGUUUAAACACGUAUUUAGAAAGUAUUUUGGUCGAGGAUUGGAAAAAUAGGAUCUAUAUAUGAACUGCCAAGAGUUUAUUUUGCUUAGAGAGGUAAAAGAGCCAAAUCCAGUCCAAAAUCCUAUCAUUAUUCACUUAUCAGCACGGACUAUUGGAAUACAAUACUUUGUCUAUUGUCAUUCUAUAUUGCUAUACAGCCGCUUGACAAUAGAAAUCUUUAUUUUUAUAUUAUUCGAAGUGAAUUAUAUAUCAUUCAGAAAUUCUGUUACUUGUAUGGAAAUUUUCAUUUAUUUUCUCUUUCUAGAAUUUCUAACGAAAGUUCAUUUCCUGAUUUAACUCUCUCUCCCAAGUUUUUAUUGAAAUUGAUCCGUUUUCACAAUUCUUAAAUUAAAUAAUAGUAUGUAAUUCGUUCGAAAUAUUACACUCCAUUAUAUUAUUCACGUAACUCAUUGUUUACUAUGGUAUGAUUGGGUAGCACGAAUAACAAAAGAUCUGGAGAGCUGCAUAGAUUUAAGAAGCAGAGUAUAUUAUUAUACAUAAAUUACAGUCUCUUUGUCUACAGAACACAAAGUGAUGCAACGUCGACCAUGGAAGAAUGAAUAUUUGUGGUAACAUGCUAGAUUAAAGGCAUGAAAUGCACGGAAAUUAGAGAGAAUUUUGAGAGGAAGUUUCAUAAGGCAGGUUCACAGACAUAAAAUGAUUAUUAUCGAUAAUUGCUAUCAGAUAUUUUUCUAUUUGAUUAAUAUCGUGUUUGGAAAGAAUCUCUUCAAAUGUUGAUACUUUCAUCAAUAAUCGUUACUUAUCUAAGGUAUGCUGAUCACAUA
rnacentral:lncRNA from 1 species